rnacentral:rRNA from 1 species
UACAGAGGGUGCGAACGUUGCUCGGAAUUACUGGGCGUAAAGGGCGCGUAGGCGGCCAUUCAAGUUAGAUGUGAAAGCCCUGGGCUCAACCUAGGAAUUGCAUUUGAUACUGUUUGGCUUGAGUUCGGGAGAGGUGAGUGGAAUUCCCAGUGUAGAGGUGAAAUUCGUAGAUAUUGGGAAGAACACCAGUGGCGAAGGCGGCUCACUGGACCGACACUGACGCUGAGGCGCGAAAGCGUGGGGAGCAAACAGG